rnacentral:lncRNA from 1 species
CAGGUCCUUCCCACAAUAAAAGUGGAGGUUUCACAGUCAUGUUUAGAAGUCCAGGAAACUUUGCUCCUGUGAUAUAUUCCGUAUGCUACAACAUUCCCAGUGGAACCGAACAACUAAAAAGAACACCCAUGUGCUUGGAG